rnacentral:rRNA from 1 species
GGGGAAUAUUGCACAAUGGGCGAAAGCCUGAUGCAGCAACGCCGCGUGAGUGAAGAAGUAUCUCGGUAUGUAAAGCUCUAUCAGCAGGGAAGAAAAUGACGGUACCUGACUAAGAAGCCCCGGCUAACUACGUGCCAGCAGCCGCGGUAAUACGUAGGGGGCAAGCGUUAUCCGGAAUUAUUGGGCGUAAAGGGCUCGUAGGCGGUUCGUCGCGUCCGGUGUGAAAGUCCAUCGCUUAACGGUGGAUCUGCGCCGGGUACGGGCGGGCUGGAGUGCGGUAGGGGAGACUGGAAUUCCCGGUGUAACGGUGGAAUGUGUAGAUAUCGGGAAGAACACCAAUGGCGAAGGCAGGUCUCUGGGCCGUUACUGACGCUGAGGAGCGAAAGCGUGGGGAGCGAACAGGAUUAGAUACCCUGGUAGUCCACGCCGUAAACGGUGGAUGCUGGAUGUGGGGCCCGUUCCACGGGUUCCGUGUCGGAGCUAACGCGUUAAGCAUCCCGCCUGGGGAGUACGGCCGCAAGGCUAAAACUCAAAGAAAUUGACGGGGGCCCGCACAAGCGGCGGAGCAUGCGGAUUAAUUCGAUGCAACGCGAAGAACCUUACCUGGGCUUGACAUGUUCCCGACAGCCGUAGAGAUGCGGCCUCCCUUCGGGGCGGGUUCACAGGUGGUGCAUGGUCGUCGUCAGCUCGUGUCGUGAGAUGUUGGGUUAAGUCCCGCAACGAGCGCAACCCUCGCCCUGUGUUGCCAGCACGUCAUGGUGGGAACUCACGGGGGACCGCCGGGGUCAACUCGGAGGAAGGUGGGGAUGACGUCAGAUCAUCAUGCCCCUUACGUCCAGGGCUUCACGCAUGCUACAAUGGCCGGUACAACGGGAUGCGACAUGGCGACAUGGAGCGGAUCCCUGAAAACCGGUCUCAGUUCGGAUUGGAGUCUGCAACCCGACUCCAUGAAGGCGGAGUCGCUAGUAAUCGCGGAUCAGCAACGCCGCGGUGAAUGCGUUCCCG